AGGUCGAUCCAGUCUGAGAGUCACAGUCCGGGCUCCUCCACAAAUCAUGGAGUCAACCAGGAUGAAACUCAUGUGUACGACUCUCUUCAACAUGGUACUGCUGACGUCUAUGAAUCAGUCACACAAGUCACAAAGAGAAAUGAUUCAUGCUUCACCAGGUCGAUCCAGUCUGAGAGUCACAGUCCGGGCUCCUCCACAAAUCAUGGAGUCAACCAGAAUGAAACUCAUGUGUACGACUCUCUUCAACAUGGUACUGAUGACGUCUAUGAAUCAGUCACACAAGUGAAAAACAGAAAUGGUUCAGAUGAAUAUGAUGACGUCACCUCAUCUCUUAUUGAGUUUAAAGAUCUUAGAACUAAGAAUACAGAGUCUGUCUGCGCCUUCUAAACAAAUCCUAUAAGGUGGGACAGGCAUGAGGGGCAGCCAGUGACCCCUCACACACGUCCUUAUGCUGAUAUCCAGGCAGGUUCUCAGUGUUUGUAGCUGCUGAUUUAUGCAGCAAGCAUUUCCACAGUCCUCUGCAGCAGAUUAUAGAAACACUUCUUUUCUCAGCUCACGACAGAAGAUCUACAGCUGGGACACUGUUAAGUGGUUCUAUGUGAAAAAUAGUUAAAUAUUAACUCAAACAUGUUCUUGUAUGUAAAACAGGUUCAAAUGCAUGAAAUUAUAUUUGUCCUUUAUAGUGGACAUUAAAAAACACCACAUGUAUGAACGAUAGUUUACAUCUUAGAGCCCUGCUCUCAAAAACUGACUCAGAUGUAACUGUCUGUGAAACCAGAUUUAAGAAAUAAGAACUUAAAGUUCACAAAACAUGUCAAACAGACUCUCCUUCAUGAAGUCCUCGUUGAUAAAGUGCUUCACAGACCUGAACAUUACAGCUAACAGCUGGAUUUUCCUGUGUCAGUGCAGCUGGCCAAAAAAUGCAGAACCACUUACUGCUAAAGAGACAGACGGUGAAAGCAGACAGUAUAUCCUCCGUUUUAAUAUAAAAGUCAUUGUUGCAGCUGAGAGCAGCACAACAGUGACCCCAUUAAACUGAUGUUUAGUUUUAGUGUCCUUAUUUUCACUGAGUUAUUGGUUCUGCUAUUAGUUACUUUACAUAAACUGAUGUGAGUCUUUUGACUGAAACGAACCAACUGACCUGGUGAUGUGAUGCUCUGUACUAACAGAAGAUGGCGCUGAACAUGUUUUUAUAACUUUAAGCACUUAUUUCUUAAAUCCAGCUUCACAGUCAGAGUUACAUCUGUGUCAGUUUUUGAGAGCUGGGCUCCAUGAUGUACAUUAGCAUUGAUACAUGUAGUGUUUCAUGUCCCCUUUAAUGCUGAACACCUGAUGUGACAUUUCCACACAAUAACUCUGCUCAGUAACUGAUUGUUUUACAUGUUUUCCAUCUUCCAGUUUUUGUGAUUUGGUUCAUGUAAACAUUUCUGAUGGUUUUAUUUUCAUCAAAAUAUUUUAAUUUGCACUUAAGUUUGAACUCUUAGAGAUUACACUCACUUUGUUUUCACAGACUUGUGACCAUGACACAAAACUACAGAGAGAAGUGGAUAAAAUCUCAUUGUUACUGGUUUUAGAAAUGCUUUACAAUAAUAAAAAAUACAUCAUUUAGAGUCAAAAUAUCAUAAAUGGUAACAAAUAUAACUGUUGUCUUCUGGUUACUCACAGUCCAAAUCAUCAUCUGCAUCAAUGAAUGUCAGUGAGGCGUCCUGAAAGUCGUCACGUCUCCUGUUCAGUUACCGUCUCUGAGAAUCACUCUGCUCUCCAAUCAAAUCACUUUCUUCUGUUUAUCCUCUGAGUUGCUCUUUGAUGGUUAUGAAUCGUUGCUCUUCUUUAAACUGUGAAGUCGUUCCUGUACUUGGGAGACAUUUCUCUUUUGUUCUGGUAUCAAAUUGCUUCGUGUUUGCUGAACGUAACCGUCUUUCUGUUCACCUGUCAAACUGUUGCUCAUGUUUCCAGAGCAGCUUUUCUUCUGCUCAGACUUAAAAAAUGUUCAAUAAGUUUUGUUUUGUCGAUUUGCCAAAUUGUUGCUCAGUUAUUGAGAAUACCUUUUUUUCUGUUCUGUAGACAUUAAUUUGCUCUUGUUUAGUUGUCAAGUUGCUGCACAGUUGGUUUGAGUCGAAGUUAAUCUCAGUUGACAGGUUGCUUUGCAGUUUUGAAAAAAAAAAUUCUCCUCUGAUAAGUUGUCAAACUGUCUUUCAGAAUAAUUUAUUCUCAGUUUUCUGUUUAGACUUUUUCUCAGACGUCUGAUUUUCGCCUCUUCUGUUCAGUCACUCAUCUUCUGCUCAGACUGUCUGUGUGUGUGUGUGUGUGUGCGUGUGUGUGUGCGUGUGCGUGCGUGUGCGUGUGUGUGUGUAUGUAGGUGCAUGUGUGUGUUUCCAGCUAUACCAUACAUAGACAUGCGAUCUUUCAAUGAACUUAAACCGUGUGUAUGAGGUUUGCAGAAAAGCAGAAAUAAGCACCUUGCUAAACUAUAAAAACAGGAACUUGUAAGAGGUCAUGUCUCAAACAAACAUUUAAAGGUGUGAAGUCUUGCACUUAUAAAGAAACAGAACCUGGUGCUUUCCUAAUGUAUAACAUAGCUCAUCUCUGGACUAAGCUGCACUCUAAAUAAAGCACAUUUUGUCAGCACAGACACAGAUAAAGGAAAUAGUAGAAGGUUGAAAAUAAAUCCUCUGACUGUCUGGCUUUUUCUUCAUAAUGAAGCCAUAUUAGGACACAUAAAGGCGAUGAUUAUAUAUCUAUAUAUUAUAGCACAAAUGACAAUAUAAAAAACAUCAAUUCCAACAAAAUCUGCC
ensembl:lncRNA